UGGGGAAUAUUGGGCAAUGGGCGCAAGCCUGACCCAGCAACGCCGCGUGAAGGAAGAAGGCUUUCGGGUUGUAAACUUCUUUUCUGAGGGACGAAGAAAGUGACGGUACCUCAGGAAUAAGCCACGGCUAACUACGUGCCAGCAGCCGCGGUAAUACGUAGGUGGCAAGCGUUAUCCGGAUUUAUUGGGUGUAAAGGGCGUGUAGGCGGGAAUGCAAGUCAGAUGUGAAAAUCUAUGGGCUCAACCCAUAGCCUGCAUUUGAAACUGUAUUUCUUGAGUGCUGGAGAGGCAAUCGGAAUUCCGUGUGUAGCGGUGAAAUGCGUAGAUAUACGGAGGAACACCAGUGGCGAAGGCGGAUUGCUGGACAGUAACUGACGCUGAGGCGCGAAAGCGUGGGGAGCAAACAGGAUUAGAUACCC
rnacentral:rRNA from 1 species